GGCCCGGUAGCGGAUGGUCCGCACCUGCGUUCAGUGGUUGAAUGCGCUUCUAUAUGCCGGAGCUGCUCGUUCGAUUCGAGCCCGGGUCA